rnacentral:lncRNA from 1 species
UUGAACUAUUUACUGCACCUACGGGUGGUCCUUGAAUUCCGUGAAUUUUUCUCCGGGAACUGAAACGUGCUAUUAAUACCUACAAAUGUUCUAAAUAAACCCAAAAUCAGUCACAGGGCCCAUUUGCCCAAUUUUAAAAAUUUGGCACAAUGGCUCUGUCGUGCUCCGGCGACGGUACUGUCGCCCGUGGCGGCGGUCCCCAUCAGGUCGGUCGUUUUUAGCCGAUUUUACAUCGAUCCCUACGAGCAAACACAUUAAAGGGUCUCGGUUGGCCGAAAAAAUAUAAAAAACUGAAACUCACCGGUGGCGGGGCUCUCUGGUGCAGCGGCUCCUCCGACUCGCGUUGUGGUUGUGUGUUUUGCUUCAGUAAACCUGUAAAGAAGAAAACGGUGAUCACAACGGUAGAAAAAUUACGCG